ensembl:snRNA U1 U1 spliceosomal RNA
AUAUUUACCUGGCAAGCUAGACACCAUGUUCUUGAUGGUGGUUUGCAGGCUGAAGCUCAUCCAUCCUCUGAAUGUACUGAUCCCUGAAUAUCCCCAAAAGCAGGAAACUUGACAGCAUCAUUUGUGGUAAUGAAGAACUGUAUUUGUGCUUUCUUCU